CCAUCAUUUAGUUUGGGCGACUCUAAGGAGACUGCCGGUGUUAAACCGGAGGAAGGUGGGGAUGACGUCAAGUCCUCAUGGCCCUUAUGUCCAGGGCUACACACGUGCUACAAUGGCCGGUACAAAGGGCAGCAAAGCCGCGAGGUGGAGCCAAUCCCAGAAAGCCGGUCUCAGUUCGGAUUGGAGUCUGCAACUCGACUCCAUGAAGUUGGAAUCGCUAGUAAUCGCGGAUCAGCAUGCCGCGGUGAAUACGUUCCCGGGCCUU
rnacentral:rRNA from 1 species